ACAACUUUUCUCAUGACUUUCUUUGUUUUACCAAACAUUGAAAAAGAAAGUUUAUAUGAAAUUUUAUUUUCAUUCUUUUUUUUUUUAAGAAGAAAUCUUUUUUUUUUUUCACAAACCAAAUGAGACAUAAAGAACAGCUCAAAGUAGAAAGUGCUCGGCGCAGUGAAAGCACAUCGGAAUAGAAAGUGCCAUGCUUUUCUUUACAAAGCAGUGAAAGCACAAAGUAGUAUUCACAUGUUAGAUUUUAGCACUGCAAUAGUGAAUUAAAACGGAUCCGGACCAGCACUCUUUGUUGGUCUCUAUGAUCAUCUAAUCAAAAGAGAGGGAGAGAAAGAGAGAGGGAGAGAGAGAGAGAGUGUAUUGGUUGGUCACAGAAACCAGCAAUUUUGCUGGUUGGCAUAUCUGAAUCCCUAAAAACAGUCAAAUCUCAUCCUUGUCCCAAGCAUAAGUACCAAUAUCUUUUGCAAAACAAUGACAAGCCACUGUGAUCAAAGUCAUAUCCAUCCUCUACAAUUCAUUCAAUGCAACUGGCCUCCCUCCACGUGGCAGUGCUCGGCGCCGGAGCUGCUGGCCUAGUGGCAGCACGUGAACUCCGGCGAGAAGGUCACAAAGUAGUAGUCUUUGAGCGAGGAGACCAAGUUGGUGGCACUUGGGUCUACACUCCUGAAGUGGAGUCGGACCCAAUUGGGCUGGACCCAGAUAGAACUAGGGUCCACUCGAGCAUGUACCAGUCUCUGAGGACCAACCUCCCAAGAGAGAGGUCAUGGGGUUCCGAGACUUCCCAUUUGUUGCCAAGGAAGGAGAUGAAGAUGGAGACCCGAGAAGAUUUCCGGGUCACAGAGAAGUGUUGAAGUACUUGAAUGACUUUGCUAGGGAGUUUGGGAUAUGUGAGAUGGUGAGGUUUGAGAGUGAGGUGGUGUUUGUGGGUUUGGUGGAGGGUGGAAAGUGGAAGGUCAAGUCCAAGAACAAAAGAAGUGAGGUUGUGGAAGAGAUUUAUGAUGCUGUGGUGGUCUGUAAUGGACAUCAUACCGACCCUCGUGUAGCUCAGAUUUCAGGCAUGCAUACAUAUAAGGGGAAGCAAAUUCACAGUCACAAUUAUCGUACUCCUGAGCCAUUUAGAGAUCAGGUUGUAAUUUUGAUAGGCAGCGCUACUAGUGCUGUUGAUAUUUCUCGGGACAUAGCUGGAGUUGCUAAAGAAGUACACAUUGCAUCUAGAUCUGUUGCUGAUGAAACCAUAGAAAAGCACCCUGGCUAUGAUAACUUGUGGCUUCACUCGAUGAUCCAAACUGUCCAUGAAGAUGGUGGUGUUGCUUUUCAAGAUGGAAGCGUUGUCUGUGCUGACAUCAUUCUUCACUGCACAGGGUACAAAUAUCAUUUUCCCUUUCUCGAAAUGGAUGGCAUUGUGAUCGUGGAUGACAACCGUGUUGGGCCACUGUACAAGCAUGUCUUCCCACCAGUCUUUGCUCCUUCACUUUCCUUUGUUGGAAUACCAUGGAAGGACGCUCUUUUCUUCAUGUUUGAACUUCAAAGCAAGUGGGUAGCCGGUAUUUUGUCUAAUCGAAUAGCACUUCCAUCCCAAGAGGACAUGAUGGAGGAUGUCAAAGCUUUCUACUCUUCACUUGAAGCUUCGGGCACACCUAAGCGAUACACUCAUAACAUUGCUGAUCAUCAGUCUGGAUAUGAUGAUUGGGUUGCAACUGAGUGUGGGUGUCCAGUCUCUGAGGAAUGGAGAAAGCAAAUGUACUAUGCAGCUAUAGAGAACAUGCUAACCAAACCAGAGACAUACCGAGAUGAGUGGGGGGAAUAUGAACAUUUAGUAUUGCAAGCUCAUGAGGACUUCAAGAAAUACGCCUUAAAUUGACAGAUAAUUCUUGACCAAAUGAAAUUGGACAUGUUAAUGGAUAAGUGAAGGCACAUGAUUUCUUUCCCAGAUUGAUCAUUGUGAAUGUAGUGGCACAAAUGUGUUCAAGAAAUGUGGCGCAUUCCUUCUUCAGCUUGGUAUUGUUGGUGUUUUUGAUAUCAUUGUACCAUAGGAUGUGAACUUUAUAUUUUAUCAGACAAUUUACUGAAUUUAGUACCCCUAACCUUUCUGCCCGCUCUAUCAGGGUGCCGCUGAAUGUGAGCUCUUACGCUCAAGAUUGUUGCAGAAAUUCACUAUCUCCGUAUUCACAAAUAAACCAACUUAUGGUGAAUGAGCAGCACCAAGAGCUCAACAUUGAGACCCUUCCAAUACUUGCUUGGAAUGC